rfam:Ailuropoda melanoleuca scaffold449_48, whole genome shotgun sequence.
GGAUGUGAGGGCCACCUAGCUGUGACAUCAGUCACCUCACUGACUGCCAGGUUUGAUCUGGCUGAUGUGGUUGGCUAGAUAGUGUUUCUUUCCUCCCCCUUCUGGCACACCCAUGUACAUCCCCUUCCCCUGAAGCUGUGAGAUCAGUCAGAGAAAACCUUCCCCAACACAGGAGGUUUAUUCUUUGGUCAAGGGCAAGUGAGUGAGUUUGUGUGUUCCCCCACUAGAGCACUAAGAGACUCCUCCAUUUUCAGGCUCCCAAGAAGUAUUGGGGUGACUCAGUGAGUGGUAGGACACAGUGGGAAGCUGUCCCUUCCU